UGCCAGCAGCCGCGGUAAUACGGAGGGUGCAAGCGUUAUCCGGAUUUAUUGGGUUUAAAGGGUGCGUAGGCGGAAUAAUAAGUCAGUGGUGAAAUCCUGCGGCUCAACCGUAGAACUGCCAUUGAUACUGUUAUUCUUGAAUAUAGUUGAGGUAGGCGGAAUGUGUAAUGUAGCGGUGAAAUGCUUAGAUAUGACAUGGAACACCAAUUGCGAAGGCAGCUCACAAAACCAGUAUUGACGCUCAGGCACGAAAGCGUGGGGAGCAAACAGGAUUAGAUA
rnacentral:rRNA from 1 species